UACGGAGGGGGUUAGCGUUGUUCGGAAUUACUGGGCGUAAGGCGCGCGUAGGCGGAUUAGAAAGUUGGGGGUGAAAUCCCGGGGCUCAACCCCGGAACUGCCUCCAAAACUACUAGUCUAGAGUUCGAGAGAGGUGAGUGGAAUUCCGAGUGUAGAGGUGAAAUUCGUAGAUAUUCGGAGGAACACCAGUGGCGAAGGCGGCUCACUGGCUCGAUACUGACGCUGAGGUGCGAAAGUGUGGGGAGCAAACAGG
rnacentral:rRNA from 1 species